rnacentral:lncRNA from 1 species
UAAACCAUUUUUUUUACCAAAUUUCAUUACAUACAAAAAUAAGUUACGAACUUAUAACAAAAUGAUAAUAUCUUCCAAUGGAACUACAACUUAGCAUGUCUUGUUAUAAUUUUACAAUAGAACUAUAACUCAUCAAGUCCUAUCACUAAUUUACAAAUUUCCUGCAAAGGGAUGAACUUUUCCUUGUGAUUGAGUUCACCUCAUCCUGUAUCAUCUAUGAUGGCACGUUAUUAGGUUGACUUGUUGAUAAGUAUCAAUCCUAGAGAAUUCAAUUGAUCUAAGCACUGCAUUCAAUAUCAANAAUUUCAUUACAUACAAAAAUAAGUUACGAACUUAUAACAAAAUGAUAAUAUCUUCCAAUGGAACUACAACUUAGCAUGUCUUGUUAUAAUUUUACAAUAGAACUAUAACUCAUCAAGUCCUAUCACUAAUUUACAAAUUUCCUGCAAAGGGAUGAACUUUUCCUUGUGAUUGAGUUCACCUCAUCCUGUAUCAUCUAUGAUGGCACGUUAUUAGGUUGACUUGUUGAUAAGUAUCAAUCCUAGAAAAUUCAAUUGAUCUAAGCACUGCAUUCAAUAUCAAAGCUAUCAUUUUCACAACUUUCAUGGAUGUGUUGUUUUUAUCAAAAUCAACUUGCUAAUCAACGGAUCAACCUGAAAAUUCAUCAAUGUUAAUGCUUCUAUAUCAAACUUAAGAAAAUAAUAAUAGAAGGUAACCUAACAUGUUAUUGCAAUUAGCAUAGUCCAUUUUUUUUUUCAUUACUUGUUCAAUGGUUUAAUGAGCAACUAUAUUUGUUCUUGGACCAACUUUUAAUUAAUCAUAAUCUAACAAGAAUACAGAAUCUAACACACAGAAACAUCAUUGAUCAAAGGAAGUAACAUACCUUUUUAUUCUGUUUCACGGUUCAUGACUAAAUGAACAUGUUGAAAAGCUUGAAUAAGGAAUGCUAAGUAAAUAAAACUACACCCAAAUAAAUUCAUCAUUUUGUAAACUAAC